CAAGAGUGAACGGUCCGGGUCAAAGAAGGGAAAAAGCUCAUUUUGUCGACACAAAAGUACAACAACACGUUAGGCAAAGUUCAAGGCGGUGGUGCGGGGAAGUCUUAAGUUGUCUUGUUCGGCGAACUUUGAAGAUGGGAAAUUCCGCUUGGCAAAGAUUUUCUGACAGCGCCGCGACACGGUCAUUGACCGCAUGUCGGCUUUUGUACCCGGCCAUUUCCAUCACGGCGAGAUUGUCUCUGCGGUGAAGUAAUGAUUUCCCGAUGACUGGUGCGGUGUGGAACGCAUGUAUAAUUGAUGUUCUUUAGGGUGUGUUCGAGACGCCAUUGUGAGACGGUGAAAAUUUGGGUGCCACAGUUCCAAAGAUGCUCUCGUACCAAAACAGCCCUCGAAAUUCAAUGGUCUAACCGAGACAAGAAUGUCAGCGACAGUGAGCGACAGACAAAGACAAGAGAAGAAAGACAUGGACAACGUUAUGCGGAGUGGGGAAGACAAAGGACUCUUUUCACUCAGUCCACGACUUGAGGAAGUGAUGGUGGGUCUGUGGUUGCUUGUGCAUCCUCAACCACCGGAAGUUCGGUCACGUCAUCGAGUGCCGGAUCGGACAGCACGAGCGCCUUGUCGAUCUUGCCGUGUCCUCCUUGCCCGUUCAACAGCACCUCCCUCUCCAGGUGCAGGCAGUAGCUCUCGAACACCCUCGAGCUCACCACUACCCCAAAGUCCAGGAGGAAAAGCAGCUCCAUCUCGAGCCUGUUCAGCUCGGAGUUGCUCACCCCGCCUACUCUCGCGUAGAACGCGUUGUUGUAGUGCCUGCGCGAAUUCCCCGAAGCCAGUGAUGCAGAGUUAUAGCAUGUACAGAUAAUUUGUUCCGGAGAGUACAUGGCUUCACACGUUGAAAUUAAUAAGCUAUGUUCCAUGAUCGCAAGUCUGUCUAGUUUUGGUUUUGUGUGCAACUAUGGAUCAAGAGCUUAGAAAGGUCCUAGACCAAUGUGGUUCCGCAAGUCGUGACUUAUUGAAAUGCGACAUCGGCACUGCAUCAGCAAAGGAGUUCCGACAUACAUUACUAUGGGUUAGCUUUCGCCGUCUUUCUUUUUCCAGCCAAGGAACUAAUGUGACCUCGAAACUGCCGGACUUUUGGGCCUCAGAUCUGGCAGAGUCUCCGAGCAGAUUACUUUUGAGUCUCUGUCAUUCAAUCACAAAAUAAUAGUAGAACCUAAUCUUGCUUAUGCACGAUUUGGACCCUCGUCCGCUUUCUUU